rnacentral:rRNA from 1 species
UGACCUCGGAUCAGGUAGGAAUACCCGCUGAACUUAAGCAUAUCAAUAAGCGGAGGAAAAGAAACCAACAGGGAUUGCCCUAGUAACGGCGAGUGAAGCGGCAACAGCUCAAAUUUGAAAUCUGGCUUCGGCCCGAGUUGUAAUUUGUAGAGGAUGCUUUUGGUGAGGUGCCUUCUGAGUUCCCUGGAACGGGACGCCAGAGAGGGUGAGAGCCCCGUAUAGUCGGCCACCGAUCCUCUGUAAAGCUCCUUCGACGAGUCGAGUAGUUUGGGAAUGCUGCUCAAAAUGGGAGGUAUAUCUCUUCUAAAGCUAAAUAUAGGCCAGAGACCGAUAGCGCACAAGUAGAGUGAUCGAAAGAUGAAAAGCACUUUGAAAAGAGGGUUAAAUAGCACGUGAAAUUGUUGAAAGGGAAGCGCUUGUGACCAGACUUGUGCCGGGCUGAUCAUCCAGUGUUCUCACUGGUGCACUCGACCCGGCUCAGGCCAGCGUCGGUUUUCGCGGGGGGAUAAAAGCUUCGGGAACGUGGCACCUUCGGGUGUGUUAUAGCCCGUUGCUUAAUACCUCCGUGGGGACCGAGG